CCACCAUAGUGAGGAAAGGGCACUGGCCCAGUCAUGUCAGUCCACGGCCUGGAGGAAGUCAGUCCGGUGCCUCCCCACACCAUUCCAGGCACCGAGGAAGUGAGUUACGCCUGGCUCCCUUGGGGCUCGAGCAUUUUUGGAGUUCAAGAUAUCCAAGAAAAAUCCAUUAGCUUUCAUGGCCCUUGGGAGGAUGAGGCCAAAAUGUCUCAGAAGGUACUUUUCAGAGUGUGAGGAAACCCUAGAGAGUUAACCAGCAAGGACUGAAUUACUCAUAUGAAUCCGGAAGGGCUGGCUCAGGAAUAGUCGUCUCUGUUGGCCAGUAGCCUCCGGGACUCAUUUCCUACAAAGCUCAUGGAGAAAACCAGCCCAGAACCUGGAGACAUUGACAACAUGAAAGAAGGGAGAAAGGCAAAAAGAAAUAAUGGUGCUGAUAGUGGGUUUUGUUUAAGUUUGCUGGGAUGCAAAACAAAAUGGGCCGAGUAAACCACACUUGGAGAACAGCCCACAGCCCUGGUUCCAACACUCCCUUUAGUCCCCAUAGGGGGGUCGUCUCAGGUAGAAGGAGUCCCAGUGCACAAUGAGGAACUGUAAUCCCUAAGGCCCGACCAGUGUUUUACAAACCAAGGCUAAUAGACUACUAGUGGCAGAAUCACCUGGGUAAUUUUAAAGACGCAUAUUCUUGGGCUUCAGACCAAUCCUGGUGAGUCACAUUUUCUCAAGUGUGCCUCAGAACCCUUAUUUUUAACGAACAUUUCCUCCCCCUCAAAUUUUAACGUGCAUAGUAAUCAUUAAGAACUGCUGCUCUAAGUAGCUAGGAGAUGGAUAGGAGAUCAGAGUUAUGUGGUUUACAGAGCCAUGAAGGGAGAGCCUGUUACCCUGGGCAAAGGCCCCUUGGAAUUGGGGAAGGAAUGGGAUUUCCCCCACUGGAACCCCGAAAGUACUUCCAGCCUCAAGAAUAAGGAGGGAGAAGCUGAGCUAGAU